GAGUUUGCAUGGAGGCAUAUAUCCUCUGGAGGAAUCUGACCAAAGGUGGGCCUUAAAAUGUCCACAUCUGUUGGACGUACAGGUGGAAUCAUUGGACAUGGAUCGUCCACAGAGGGAUAUUGACAUUUUGCCAGAGAUUAGAGAGAAUGGGGAAGGAGAGACUGCAGCAAAGACUCCACAUAUCCCACUCUGAAACGACUCCUGCGCCACAGCUGAAGAGUUGACAUGGAUUUUUGUUCUAUUUCCUCCAGCUACUCUGAGGUACACUGCUGAGAUCAGUGCACAUCUCAAACUGUUGUUUGAUUAAUAAAAGAAGGAAGCAAUGUAUAAUGCUCACCAGUGUUCCCGUUCCAAAACAGCCCUGCCAUUAAAAAUACAGUGUGACAUUCUCAAAUGAG